ACCAAACCCGCCGACCCGCCGACUCAGCCCGGCGGCUUGGUGUCGGCGACUUUGCUUCAAGAAUCAUGUCGGCGACUCGUACCCGCGCGUGCAAGUCGGCGGCAUGGCCGGCGACUUGCGUACGCGCACGCUCAGUUGCCCGCCGACACUCCAGCGAUAGUGACUUGCUUGUGUUUUUUUUUGCGAUUUUCUGCAAUAAUGGAAUGGGACGAAGAAACCACUCUAAAGUUAAUAAAUUUGUAUCAUAUAAAGGAAUUAUUAUGGAAUCCAAAACACUUGGAUCACAAAUGUAGACCUAAACGUUUUGAUGCACUAAAUGAGAUGGCAAACGAAUUAAAUACAAAUGUCACAGAAAUAGAACGGAAGAUAAAAAAUUUGACGAGCCAAUAUUAUAGAGAAAGAAAAAAAACGAUUGAAUCAAAAAAGUCUGGAACCAGCGCAGAUUUUGUUCAUGAGAGCAAGUGGUUUGCCUUUAAAUCUUUGAAUUUCUUGCUCAAUAAAAAUAAACCUACUGGAACAAUCGAUACGGAGAUAACAGCAACUGACAAUAAUGCCCAACAUGCGGACAAUGAUGCUCAACAUGGGGAAAACGAUUCACCUCAAACGUCAAACAUCAUUCCCCAAGCGAAUAAACGUUAUAAACCUAAUCCAAGUAAUGAGAUGGUGUCGGAAGCAUUAAAUUUAAUGAGAACAGUCAGUCAACGGACAAAUCAAAAAAUAAAAGAUGAGGACGAUUUGUUUGGCGAAUAUAUUGCGACACAACUUAGAAAAUUUGAUAAAACAACAAAGGCAAUAAUAAAACAUCGGAUUAACAAUAUCUUUUUUGAAACCGAAACUGGAUAUCGUUCAGACAUGUUCGAAGCUUCGCCAAGACCUUCUACUUCUCAUAGUCAUCCAGGAUAUUAUACAAUGGAUCAAUGUGAUGUAAAUUCCUACUACUCAUCAUCCAACUCUGCCGUAACAAACCCUGUUUCACCGCCUCUUGGUGAACCUUCAACAUCUUCAAUUGAACCUUCGUUACGUGUGUCGAUUCAAGAGAGUGGUGAUAUUGAGAACAUAUUAUCAUCUAUUGAGUCAGAUAAAUAGGUUUAUUCCACAAAUCCCCACCGUAUGCACUCUGAGAAUAACCCUAUCACCUGAUGCGAGAUAACGUUAUGUAGGCACAAGUAUUUCGUCUUAAUGUUGUUGUCAUAGAAUCGUCAUAGUAUACUCAAAAUGCAUAAAAACAUCAGUGGGGAUUUCGCGGUGGGGAUUUAUAGAAUAACUCGGUAAAUAAAACCACUUAUAAAUGAACAAAAACAAGUGAUUUACGAAGUUUUUAAUACAAAUUAUAAUAAAAAUACAAGUACUAAUACAAGUAUGAGUUUCAUUAAAACGUACGAGUUAGUCAUUGAUCAUUCUGCCAUGGUAAUCUCCCGACAUCGGAAAGAAAAUAUUGAACCAAUUCUGUCCUUAUAACCUCAGGAGAUUGUGUCCUUGUAACCUCAAGGGAAUGUGUAUUGUCUUGUCUAGGCAAGUCAGCAAACAAAUUAUUUUCACGUGGUUCCCUGCGCCAAUCUCCUGGAUUGAUUUCUCCCCUACUAUUUUCAGUAUCAUAUUCAUUUUGUUGUAUUAUACCAUGUCGUUUUACAUAAUUGAACAAAUGAAUACAUGCCAAUGUUACAAUAGUAACUUUUUGUGGAUUUAGCUGGAUGGGUUUGUUAAAUAUCUUAAAUUGUUUUGUUAACUGUCCAAAUACGUUUUCAACUACUCUUCGACCUCGACACAUGCGAUAGUUGUACACUCUCUUGGGAGACCCUUUCGCAUGAUUACCAUCAUAAGGUUUUAAAAUAUUGGUUUGUAAAGGAAACGCAU
rnacentral:lncRNA from 1 species